rnacentral:rRNA from 1 species
ACGAACGCUGGCGGCGUGCUUAACACAUGCAAGUCGAACGGAAAGGCCCUGCUUUUGUGGGGUGCUCGAGUGGCGAACGGGUGAGUAACACGUGAGUAACCUGCCCUUGACUUAGGGAUAACUUCAGGAAACUGGGGCUAAUACCGGAUAGGAGCUCCUGCUGCAUGGUGGGGGUUGGAAAGUUUCGGCGGUUGGGGAUGGACUCGCGGCUUAUCAGCUUGUUGGUGGGGUAGUGGCUUACCAAGGCUUUGACGGGUAGCCGGCCUGAGAGGGUGACCGGCCACAUUGGGACUGAGAUACGGCCCAGACUCCUACGGGAGGCAGCAGUGGGGAAUAUUGCACAAUGGGCGGAAGCCUGAUGCAGCAACGCCGCGUGCGGGAUGACGGCCUUCGGGUUGUAAACCGCUUUCGCCUGUGACGAAGCGUGAGUGACGGUAAUGGGUAAAGAAGCACCGGCUAACUACGUG